UACAGAGGGUGCAAGCGUUGUUCGGAAUUAUUGGGCGUAAAGGGCGCGUAGGCGGUGCGGUAAGUCUCUAGUGAAAUCUCCGGGCUCAACUCGGAGCCUGCUAGGGAAACUGCCGUGCUUGAGUGUGGGAGAGGUGAGUGGAAUUCCCGGGUGUAGCGGUGAAAUGCGUAGAUAUCGGUAGGAACACCAGUGGCGAAGGCGGUCUCCUGGGGCAUUCUUGACGCUGAGGCGCGAA
rnacentral:rRNA from 1 species